GGCGAACGGGUGAGUAACACGUGAGUGACCUGCCCUUGACUUUGGGAUAACUUCAGGAAACUGGGGCUAAUACCGGAUAGGAGCUCCUGCUGCAUGGUGGGGGUUGGAAAGUUUCGGCGGUUGGGGAUGGACUCGCGGCUUAUCAGCUUGUUGGUGGGGUAGUGGCUUACCAAGGCUUUGACGGGUAGCCGGCCUGAGAGGGUGACCGGCCACAUUGGGACUGAGAUACGGCCCAG
rnacentral:rRNA from 1 species